AAACCAGCACCUCAAGUGGUCAGGAUGAUUAUUGGGCCUAAAGCAUCCGUAGCCUGAUCUGUAAGUUUUCGGUUAAAUCUGUACGCUCAACGUACAGGCCGCCGGGAAUACUGCAGAUCUAGGGAGUGGGAGAGGUAGACGGUACUCGGGAGGAAGUGGUAAAAUGCUUUGAUCUCUCGAUGACCACCUGUGGCGAAGGCGGUCUACCAGAACACGUUCGACGGUGAGGGAUGAAAGCUGGGGGAGCAAACCGGAUUAGAUACCCGGGUAGUCC
rnacentral:rRNA from 1 species